rnacentral:lncRNA from 10 species
AAAACGUGUAGUUAUUGAGUACUUGUCAUGUGCUGAUCACACUGUAUUAAUAUAUUACUCAGAAGCCCGCUGUGCAAAUGUGGGAACGGAGGUAGCUUGUCUAAGCUAGCCCAGAGGCUGAUCCACAUCAAGCCCCGUCACAGCUGCUGCUCCUGCCCUGUACUCCCAGUUGACAUCUACCACCACCACCACCACCACCAUCACCACUACACCAUCACCACCACCACCAUCAUCACCACCACACCAUCACCACCACCACUACCACCACCACCAUCACCACCAUCAUCAUCACCACCAGCACCACACCAUCACCACCACCAUCAUCAUCACCACCAGCACCACACCAUCACCACCACCAUCAUCAUCACCACCAGCACCACACCAUCACCACCACCAUCAUCACCACCAGCACCACACCAUCACCACCACCACCAUCACCACCACCACUACCAUUAUCAUCACCACCACGACCAUCACUACCACAUUGCCACCAUCACCACCACCAUCACCACCACCACACCAUCACCAACAUCACCACCACCACUACCAUCAUCAUCACCACCUCAACCAUCACUACCACCACCACACCAUCACCACCACCAUCACUACCACCACACCAUCACCACCAUCACCACCACCACCACCACCACACCAUCACCACCACCAUCACCACACCAUCACACCAUCACCACCACCACCACCAUCACCACCACCACCAUCACCAUCACCACCACCAUUACCACACCAUCACCACCACCAUCACACCACCACCACCACCAUCACACCACCAACACCAUCACCACCACCACCACCACACCAUCACCACCACCAUCACCACCACCACCACACCAUCACCGCCACUACAACCACCACCACACCAUCACCACCACCACCACGACCACCACCAUCACCACCACCACCACC